GUCAAGGACUACCUCUCAUUAUAUCUAAAUUGUACUAAGCUUUCAAAAGAUUAUCAAUCUGAAAAGAAUUAAUCUAUUAAAUUUAUAAUUUGUACAAUUUGACUAUGCCACAUAACUGGCUACAAAAAUGAACUUGGGACUUGCAUUAAAGGAUAUAGGCAAUUUUCAGAAAGAUAGUCUGAUCUUCUUGUCAUCAGAAGAUGGAGAAGCACAUUCUGCAAAGUGAUACACAGUGUUUUCACAAGACACCCUAAUUUCUCGGAUGUCUCAGAUGGAGCAACUGCAGUCUACCUGAGCUCUUUUCUCACCCGUAUUAAGUCAACUAACAUAAUUACCGCAUACCAAUUAAAAGCUGACUGGUU